rnacentral:tRNA from 1 species
AGAAAGACAUAGUGGUUAUGAAGCUGGCUUGAAACUAGUUGUGGGAGGUUCGAUUCCUUCCUUUCUUG